rnacentral:rRNA from 1 species
UGCUAGUUGUGCGGGUUUAGACCCGCAGCGGAAAGCUCAGUAACACGUGGCCAAACUACCCUGUGGAUGGGAACAAUCUCGGGAAACUGAGGCUAAUUCCCAAUAACGCUCCACCCCUGGAACGGGCGGAGCUGGAAACGCUACGGCGCCACAGGAUGUGGCUGCGGUCGAUUAGGUAGACGGUGGGGUAACGGCCCACCGUGCCAAUAAUCGGUACGGGUUGUGAGAGCAAGAGCCCGGAGACGGAAUCUGAGACAAGAUUCCGGGCCCUACGGGGCGCAGCAGGCGCGAAACCUUUACACUGUACGCAAGUGCGAUAAGGGGACUCCGAGUGUGAAGGCAUAGAGCCUUCACUUUUGUACACCGUAAGGUGGUGCACGAAUAAGGGCUGGGCAAGACCGGUGCCAGCCGCCGCGGUAAUACCGGCAGCCCGAGUGAUGGCCGAUAUUAUUGGGCCUAAAGCGUCCGUAGCUGGCCGGACAAGUCCGUUGGGAAAUCUGUUCGCUUAACGAGCAGGCGUCCAGCGGAAACUGUUCGGCUUGGGACCGGAAGACCUGAGGGGUACGUCCGGGGUAGGAGUGAAAUCCUGUAAUCCUGGACGGACCACCGGUGGCGAAAGCGCCUCAGGAGGACGGAUCCGACAGUGAGGGACGAAAGCUAGGGUCUCGAACCGGAUUAGAUACCCGGGUAGUCCUAGCUGUAAACGAUGCCCGCUAGGUGUGGCGCAGGCUACGAGCCUGCGCUGUGCCGUAGGGAAGCCGAGAAGCGGGCCGCCUGGGAAGUACGUCUGCAAGGAUGAAACUUAAAGGAAUUGGCGGGGGAGCACUACAACCGGAGGAGCCUGCGGUUUAAUUGGACUCAACGCCGGACAUCUCACCAGCUCCGACAGUAGUAAUGACGGUCAGGUUGAUGACUUUACCCCGAUGCUACUGAAAAGGAGGUGCAUGG